AUUGAACGCUGGCGGCAUGCCUUACACAUGCAAGUCGAACGGCAGCACGGGUGCUUGCACCUGGUGGCGAGUGGCGAACGGGUGAGUAAUACAUCGGAACGUACCUUAUCGCGGGGGAUAACGCAGCGAAAGCUGUGCUAAUACCGCAUACGCCCUGAGGGGGAAAGCGGGGGAUCGCAAGACCUCGCGCGAUUAGAGCGGCCGAUGUCUGAUUAGCUUGGUGGUGGGGCAAAAGCGCACCAAGGCGACGAUCAGUAGCUGGUCUGAGAUGACGAUCAGCCACACUGGGACUGAGACACGGCCCAGACUCCUACGGGAGGCAGCAGUGGGGAAUUUUGGACAAUGGGGGCAACCCUGGUCCAGCAAUGCCGCGUGAGUGAAGAAGGCCUUCGGGUUGUAAAGCUCUUUUGUCAGGGAAGAAACACCGGCUCUAACACAGUCCGGGAAUGACGGUACCUGAAGAAUAAGCACCGGCUAACUACGUGCCAGCCGCCGCGGUAA
rnacentral:rRNA from 1 species